rnacentral:lncRNA from 1 species
UAAUUUGUUUUGAUCAAAUGUUGUAAAAGAGCAUAAGCUCUUCUUUACUUUGAAGUACUCAUUUUCUUGUUUUAUUUGAUAUGCAUGAAAUUGGAGUAGUUGGGUCCAACGCCCAAUAGGAAAAACACGCCUUAAUAUGAUUAAACGCGUAACUAAAAUCAAUCACCAUCCCUAGACCGAGAUUCAACACUAGGCUCGUGUUGGAUCUAAUCAAAGGUUCAUAGUCAUCCUAAGGUCCUAAGGCAACUAUAUAGUCCAUCAAUGAAUGCAAACCUUAUGUUAGUAGUACCAUAUACUCUUGCUUUAAAAACCGUUUUACAAGCUUAGUGGGAGUAUUAUAUACUACUAAAUCAAUCACAUGGACCAAUAGUUGUAAUUGGACCAAAUUGUUUUAAUAAGAUUAAAAUGAAUGUUUAUAUAUGAUGAGACCUAAAACCCUCAACCAAACCAUUAUUAAGUUGCUAAGCAUGAGAGUGCUUUGAACACUCUUUCGUGGCCUUCCACCGUGGUAGGCUCCGAUCGUUUGUGACUCGUACACCGACUUCACCCUAUCAUGGGGGAGUACAAAGUGCGUGCUUACACUCAGGAUGAAUCCUAUACGCAUACAUGAUGUUGUGAAGGUAGGCAACGAGAAUGAUCAACAUCAUAUCAUUGUGAGGUUGUUCUUGAACUCCUACCCGAACUUGCAUGGUGGGAAUGACUUAACUAAGUGCAAUGGAGCCAACAUCAUAUCAUUGUGAGGCUUCAUUCUCUAGAGACCAAAUAAGAUGGAUACUUGCAAGAGAUGCAAAUGAGUAAGUGUACUCUCUCAUUAUUAUUGAUGCUAGCCAACAUCAUAUCAUUGUG